rnacentral:rRNA from 1 species
UGGGGGCAACCCUGAUCUAGCCAUGCCGCGUGAGUGAUGAAGGCCUUAGGGUCGUAAAGCUCUUUCUGUGGUGAAGAUAAUGACGGUACCCAGUAAAGAAACCCCGGCUAACUCCGUGCCAGCAGCCGCGGUAAUACGGAGGGGGUUAGCGUUGUUCGGAAUUACUGGGCGUAAAGCGCGCGUAGGCGGACUGGAAAGUUGGGGGUGAAAUCCCGGGGCUCAACCUCGGAACUGCCUCCAAAACUAUCAGUCUAGAGUUCGAGAGAGGUGAGUGGAACUCCGAGUGUAGAGGUGAAAUUCGUAGAUAUUCGGAAGAACACCAGUGGCGAAGGCGGCUCACUGGCUCGAUACUGACGCUGAGGUGCGAAAGUGUGGGGAGCAAACAGGAUUAGAUACCCUGGUAGUCCACACCGUAAACGAUGAAUGCCAGUCGUCGGGUAGCAUGCUAUUCGGUGACACACCUAACGGAUUAAGCAUUCCGCCU